rnacentral:tRNA from 1 species
GCCGACGUAGCUCAGUUGGUUAGAGCACCAGAUUGUGGAUCUGGGGGUCGCAGGUUCGAAUCCCGCCGUCGGUA